rnacentral:lncRNA from 1 species
GAGGGAAUAAGGAUUUAAUUGGACUGUGUCACAUUUAUUAGCAUCACAUGUUUUAGAUCACUUGUAGAACAACAUGAACAACAAGAUACAGGCUGCGGAUCGAAAGGCUGAAGUGACUGCAUCAACUGUUCCUUCAAGGCAGGUGGAGGGAGGAUGGUUGCCGUCAUGCUAAUUAUGGACAAAGUUCAUCGUCUCUUCGGUGAAGGCCGGUAGAUGUUCCUUUUGAACACAUCGUGUCAGCAACCUCACGCCCUGCUUAGGCUUGGACGGCUGCAGGUAGAUGCAGGAAGCGACGAAGUUGUGGUCGUCGUUCAACGGAGCGACAUGAGUCGGCUCUCCCCACCCAUAGUUCACAUCUGAGAACCCCACCCGGCUCCAAUCCGACACCACCAGCGUCCCGUACUCCAGCGGCACCUUGUCCGGGUCGGCCUCUGCGUCCCCCAUCAUCCAGUCCAAGAACUUGGUGGACAUCCUCUCCUUGGCGUCCCGGAUCAGCUCGAUCACCUCCACCGGCGAGGAACCAGCGAUGGUCCCAGCGGUCGCCUUGAUUCCCAUGGGGUACACGCAGUUGCCAUAGAAGCCUUCCUGCGGCAGCAGCUGGCGCAGCAGGUGGCGGGCGUUGGCGGUGAAGCUGAGGUACACGUCGGCGUGGGAAUCCAAGCUUAUCGCCCUCGUCCGGCACUGCCAGAUCAUAGCCGUGACCACGUCGAAGGUGGAGCACUCCUGGCCCGCCUCCCUGCAGAACUGGUUUUUAACCGCGUCGAUGUGGUCGGAGGGGAUGUCGAACACGGAGGACUCGAAGUAGACGACAGCGGGGGCGGGUGCGUGUCGUUGCGAUAGCUUUGGCGGACGGGGGAUGGCUUCCCUGCACCAGACAGGCUCAACGAGGGGACGAGCGUGGCCUCUUGCGAUCUCGGCGACUGCUUUCAAGAACUGGGCUGCCCCGAGGCCAUCGAAUACUGUGUGAUUGAAUCUGAUGUCCAUUGCGAAUCCACCGCAUGUGAACUCCGUCACCUGAAAAAGUAAUACAGCGCAUAACGGUAAAAAAAAGUCUCGCGUGAGCAUUAAAAUUUAGGCAGCAUGCUCUUCAUCAUCUCCUAAACCAGGUCUGUGUGGCUGUAUGCCGCGUGUUCUUGAAUCAGAGAUAAAGUUGGAUGAGACACAAUAAUAAAACUAAUAAUAAGAACAAUAAAGGUGAUGACUGAAAACGGUGGCACGUUCGACUCGUGAAAUCUGCCGCAUGAGCCUAAUGGCUUCUUGUACAAUUAGUCGGCAGUAGCUACACGAUGAGCAGAGCUAGCUCCUGACACCCAGAAAACAUCUUUAGAAAGGAGCCGAUAUGAACGAAAGGCAGGUAGCUCCUAAAAGCAAGCCAACUUGAUUGCAAUACGUGUGUCUGUGUCAAAGCAAGCCAACCGGGGAGCGGCUCCACGAUUCGCCCGGCGACGGGGUAGUAGGCGACUAGAGCGCGGGACAGCGCCGCCCUGAUGGCCUUCGCCGGCUGCACGCCUUGCUCGAACACGAGUAUCAGGUCGAUGAUCAAUCUGACCACCGCGGUGAUAGAAUGAGAGAAUGAAGUAUGAAAUGAAAAGGAUAAAGCAAAAAGGCACACUUAUUCGUAUGUUGAUGCAUUUUCGGUGUAACGAUGAAAUAGUUCUUGACCGUAUGUAGCAGAGGAGUGGCAAGUGAAUGACUCAUGACAAUGGAAUGCCAUUGAUGUUGCUUAGAGAGGGAGUCAUGUACACGUAUGGUUACGGUAAAAGUUAUCUUAAGACUUCGUAAAAGUAUCGUUAAAAGUCUUCUUUUUUUUUUUGACUUGGUAAAAAUCGAUUAUAACCAAGUCUCCGAUUUGCAGCUACAAAUUAGGGAUUGUUUAGUGUUGUUUAGAUUAAUAUCAUGUGUUAGCAGGUAGGUGACGCAUAAUAUUUAUUUCCUUGUAUGUAUGUCAUACAUGUCGUUUUUACACGGUUUAUAAUGAUUCAAGAGGAUGUCACACCUGCUGCAUGGUAAUGACGAAGAUGACUUGCAGGCGGUGGAUAGUAGCCCGCUCUCAUUGUAGUUCUAGGUAAAACUUCAUCAUCUCUUCAUGGAAGGCGGGUAGAUGAUCCUUUUCACAGCAUCGUGUCAUCAACCUCAAGCCCUGCUUCGGCUUGGGCGGCGACAGAUAGAUGCAGGACGCCACGAAGUUACUGUCGUCAUUCAACGGAGUGACAUGGAUCGGCUCUCCCCACCCGUAGUUCACCUCUGAGAACCCCAUAAGUCUCCAAUCCGACACCACCAGCGUCCCGUACCCCGGUGGCACCCGGUAAGGGUCCUCCUCCGCAGUCUCCCCCAUCAUCCAGUCCAAGAACUUGGUGGAUAUCCUCUCUUUGGCGUCUCGUAUCAGCUCGAUCACCGCCACCGGCGAGGAACCUGCGAUGGUUCCAGCUUUCGCCUUGAUUCCCAUGGGGUACACGCAGUUGCCGUAGUAGCCUUCCUGCGGCAGCAACCCCCGCAGCAGGUGGCGGGUGUUGGCGGCGAAGCCGAGGUGAACGUCGACGUGGGCGUCGAAGCAUAUCGCCCGCGUCCGGCACUGCCAGGCCGUGGCCGUGACCACGUCGAAGGUGGAGCACGUCUGGCCCGUCUCCCUCCAGAACUGGUUCUUCACUGCGUCGAUGUGGUCGGAGGGGAUGUCGAACACGGAGUUCUCCAAGUUGAAAGCCUCGAAGGAGGGUAGUGGAAGACCUGGCGAUAGCUUCGGCGGACUGGGGAUGGCGUCCCUGCACCAGACUGGGUGGACGACGGGACGAGCGUGGCCUCUUGCGAUCUCGGCGACUGCUUUCAAGAACUGGGCUGCUCCGAGGCCGUCGAACACUACGUGGCUCAGCCGGGUGCCCACUGCGAACCCGCCGCAUGUGAACUCCGUCACCUGAACGAUCGAGAGAAGACACGGCUGGGUGAUGUACAUCCUGUUGAUUUUGGAAGUAGCGUAAUGCAAACAGUGUCACGUUCGGCUCGUGAAAGCCAACCAUGCAGUGUCUUACAUGAGCCUAUAUAUGAAUCCACCUUCAUUGCCAACACUUACCACAUGAGUCAGUCAGAUUAUAUAUAUUAAGAUAAACUUACGUCUUAAUAAAUUUAACUUUUUAGAUUAAAUUAAUUUCUAAUAAGCGCUAAUCAUAGAAUUGAUUCACGAUAGUUAUCUAGAUAGUUGUUAUGUUCUAAAUAUGAUUUAGAUUAUGACUCAUGAUGGGAGAUAAUACCUACAUUCACUUAAUAGGUAGUUACCAUCAGGUACUAUAAAUAUGAUCAUAGUUCAUAAACAAGAAGAGGUAUGUACUUGGAAAUAUUUUAUAAAUGUUCUAUGACUUACAUCUUGUUUAAUACUAAAUCAAUUUUCUUGAUCGAAAGCAUUCUAUCUUAAUUGCUUUGUAGUAUUCUAUUUUUAUCGUUCUCUAUCUCCAACAACUCUUAAUAGAAUGAGUUUGAUUCGUGACUUAAUAAACUUAAUCUUUUAGAUUAUGUAGACUACAAGACUCAUCAUCCAUUUUAAAUUAUCGAUAAGAUGAUCUCCAGCGUUCUUUCUUUCAGAUUCUUUGUACAGAAUUAGUGUCAUAGUUUCCUUCCGCUUAUAGGAUUCUGUCAUAUUCAAACUAAUUUAAUUAGUACCUCAGAAGAAAUGAUGUUAUCUUAACGCCGAUGCCGAGGAAAGCGUGUAUCAAAACAUACGUACCUGCAUCAUCAUGAUCAAAUCUUCCUCUUUCACUUCAGCGGGAGCGAAUGGGAUGAGCUCCUCCUUGGGCAGCAGGAGGGGGCGCUCCAAGUUGUUGACAUCUUUGAGAUUGCAAUCCACGGAGGCCUCAACGAACCACACGCCUUCGCCGGUGCAGGCGACCUCGGGCUCGCCGGGGCGCGGCUCGAAGAUGCGUCCGGCGACCGGGUAGUAAGGGACGAGAGCCCGGGAGAGCGCCGCCUUGAUGGCCUUCGCCGGCGCCAGGCCUUGCUGGAACACAAGUAUCGUGUCCGCCAGGACUCUGACUGCUGCAAUCCGGUCCAUGGAGGAGAGCGGGAGGCGGCCGGACGGCGUUGGCUCGGCGGCGGCCACGAGCUCCGGGACGAGCUUGUUCACGGAAAAUCUCAUGGUUGCUACAGUUGCUUCAGUGCCUCAGCUUCAGAUGCUCUGCCAUGAGGCGAUGUUGGUGACCAUAUAGUGAGAGAAAGGAAGGGGAUGGUGUCAGGGAUACCGCUAUCUAAUAUUAUCUAAUCUAGUCAAACGAGAACGUUAGAUUCUCUAAAUUAUUUACAAGUCUACAGUGUGAGUGGAAUCUUCUCAUUCUCAUGGGGGUACCAAGUCAAUUCGAAAGGGUUUUCCUAUUGGCGUUGACGAAUAGGUGUCACCAUAAAAUAUUAAAGGCGAAAACUUAGUUUCUUCUUUAAUGUCCAUUUUGGCACUUAGCGCCAUAAACUAAGUUCAUCCCACGGAGCUCCAGCCGGGGCCGCCGAGGUUUGCUUAUUCACGGAUAAGCUCAUGGUUGCUACAGCUAGCUGCUUUGAUUUCUCGGCUUACAGGCUCUGCCAUGAGGUGGUUGUGGUGGUGGUGGUGGUCAUUAUAUAUGUAUUCAUGCAGAAGGGGAUGAAGCGCAUUUGACCCGCUCGGGUAUGGGGCUCUCCACCCGACCCUGCUGCUGAACAUGGGACGCGUGCGUCAGACGCUGGAGAAAGUGCGUCGGCGAGUUAGAAGCAAUGAUUGACGAGGCCGUGCAGACCGGCGAAUCUCACUCGAAUGAGGGUGUUGGACAUCCUGGCCGCACACCAUGUCCCGUUAGUCACCUCACCAGUUUGUACAAACGUCUGUUCUCUCUCUCUAUAUAUAUAUGUAUGUGCUGUCGCUGACGUUGGAUGCGUGCGUAUAAAUCAUACCGAUGGGGAUUUUGGAUAGGUGAGUGAGAACAAGAGAAGAAUUGCGCCGUCUGUACAGACUUGCCAAUCCCACUUUCAUGUAUAAACGAAAUUGAAGUGUAUCUCUUUCUGUCAACGAAAAGAGAGUAUUUUGUGACUUCCGCCGAAUUCAUUAACAUCUAUCUGCAUGAGCAUGGAAUGUUGGAGCAUAUGGGUAGUCGAGUGAAGAACAAGUGAUGAAUGAUGCUGUGCUGAUUUUUCUGACCAUUUGCAGUAUUCAUUGGGUAGUAAAUGUUUAAUGCACCACAUUAGCUUCCCCACAAUAACAUAUUGUCUUUACUUCGUGUGACUACCACCCUAUUGGGUUGAUAGCUAAGGUGGACUUUAUCAACAUAUAGUUUACUUCCUCUUAAUCUAAUCAUAAUUUAUAUUAGGGGAGUGUGGUGGCUAUUAAAAUAAGAUAAAAAAAAAGACAGUAAUAAGGUGGUUUUUAGUAGCCAUGAGAUUCCAAAGAAAAUGAGAAGAACAAGACAGAAAAUGAAACGAAAGAAAUGGAAGAAGACAAGGAUAACACAAAGUGACUAUUCUCAAUCAUCCAGUAGUGCUUUCAUCUCAGGUUAGAUCAGAUCUAUAGUAGAUUCUUACUGUGAUUACUUAGAGAGAAUUAGGAAGGAUUUAGAUAUUGUGCACAGUGACGUGAUCCUUUAUCCUAGUUAUUCUCUUGUGAUUGUUGCUAAGAUUUUGGGCAAGAGAUUGAGAUUUGUAUAUUUAUUAUUAUUAUAAUGGAUUAUCUCUAGUUUGUCCCGUGGUUUUUACCCUUCACAUUGAAUGAGUUUGCUUGCUAAUAUUUAUUCAUAUACAAAAAUUAUUUCUCUUUAUAUUCCAUCAACUGGUAUCAGAGCAGGGUUAUGAUGAUUUAAUUUUUGUAUUUGAAGGAGGCCAGUAGUAUUUCUUAUAUGAUUAGUUUGAAUGAAAAUAAUUAGAUGAUAUGAAAAUCAAGAAUCGAAGAUAUCUUGUAUUGCAAAGAUUUGUAUGGACCUUUGCAGAGAGAUAGUGCAAAACCCACAACUAUAUCAGAUGAUGAGUGGAAGAUGUUAUAUCAAAAGACAGUAGGUUUAUUCGACAGUGGCUUGAUAAUAGUGUCUUUCAUCAUGUUUCUACUGAAAUUUCUACAUAUUCUCUUUCGAAAAAGUUGGAAAGUCUCUAUGAAAGAAAAACAGUUGACAACAAAGCUUUUUUGAUAAUAGUGUUGUCACCAUGAGUCAAGUAACAAGCAUUUUAUUGAAUAAGGAGUUGAUAAGAAAGAAUUCAGUAACAUCUAAAAAUGAUUCACAAGCACUUAUCUCAGAGAACAGAGAAAGGUCAAAGUCUAGAAGCAGUUCACGCGUGGGUAUGAGCAAAUCAAGAUUAAGAAAAGAUAUUGUUUGCUAUAAUUGUGGUGAGAAAGGACAUUACAAGAACCAAUGUAAGCAACAUAAGAAGAGCAAGAAAAAUGGAAAAGAAGUGGAGUCUACAGAGUCAAAAAAUAAUAUCACAAUUAUAGUGUAGGGUGGUGAUUAUUUGAUUUUGUCUUAUUCUGAUAAUAUUUUUUUUGUGUUUAUUAGGAUCUUAAGUGGGUGACUAACACAGGUGUUUCUUAUCAUGCUAUACCAUGGAGGGAGUUUUUUGCUACAUACAAGUAUGAAAAUUUUGGUGUUGUCAAGAUGAGCAACUACGGCAUAGCAAACAUCAUUGGCAUGAGUGAUAUGUAUUUAAAGACCAACAUUGGUUGCAAAUUAGUGCUUAAGGAUAUGAGGCAUGUGAUUUGACUUUGCUAGUCAUAGGUGCCCAGUUAGCUAAUCACGUGAGUGAUGACACGUGUGACUUGACACGGAAUCUUUUUACUUAUUAUAUUUUAACAUUUAUCAUUUUAUAUUGACUGUUGCAUAUAUACAUGUAUAUAUUGUGAUGUCUUUGGAUCUGUGCAAUAUGAAUCAGAUCGUGAUGAGAUCACGAUAAUGAGACUGAUUCACUUUUAAACACAUAUCCUAAAUAAUCCCGGUCAUAGGUUACUCGAGAGAGACAUCGAGAUAAUCGUAUAAACUGGUGUACUGUAUACCCAUCCAUAUGAUGGAUGCAGUUGGUCUCAUAGCUGCUUGUGUGAGGACACUAGGGAUACAGUACAGGUGCUCAUUAGAGAAUGAGUUCACUGAUUGAUCCGCUUAUGGAAUGCUGGAUGGUUAAUGAUACCUUAUUGUCAGAUAACGAUUCCGUAGUCCUAGUGGUGUAUCUUGUCCUUAGAUUUGAGAUACCAAGGAUGUCCUAUAUUAGUGCUCCGCUCUUUGAUACCAGACUUAUAUGUUUGGAUGUCCCAGAUCUAGUACAGUUGGUCAUUGGGAGUAACAGUUGACCUUACGAGAGCUAUUGAGUAUCGAUAGAGGAUCAUCCACUCUUGGCGUCAUGAGAGGAGCAUCCUAUGCGUUCUUGCUCAGACAAAUCCCUGGCCAUGGUCAUUCGGAUUGAGAGAGAAAGAGUUAUCGGGAAGAAUCCAAUUAGAGCAAGACUCGAGUAGAAACUAUAUGGGUCUGAUAGUACCAUGCCCGAUAUACGAUCUCUAGAAUAUUAUCUCAGUUGAGAAAUAUCACAUACUCAUUUGUAGAGUAUCGUCGCCCCCAAGAUUUCUUAACAUGUUUAAGCUUUGGAGGUGAACCAUCUAUGUUGACAGGUUACACAGAUGUAGAUAUGGCAAGAGAUAUAGAUACGAGGAAGUCCACAUUAGGAUAUGUACUUACUUUUGCAAGAGGAGAUGUGUCAUGACAAUCCAUAUUACAAAGGCGUAUUGCUCUCUCCAUCAUAGAGACAGAAUAUAUUGCUGCUACAGAGGUUUACAAAGAAAUAUUAUGGAUAAAAGAAUUCUUACAAGAAUUGGGACUUAAACAGGAAACUAUAUAGUGCAUUGUGAUAGUCGGAGUGCUAUCCAUUUGUGUAAGAACCCAAUGUUUCAUUCCAAGUCAAAGCAUAUAGAUAUCAGAUACCACUGGAUUUGAAAUGUAUUGAAGAGAAAUAGUUGCAGUUUUAGAAAAUUCACACAGAUGACAACGAAGCAGACAUGCUAGACAAAGAAUUUACUAAAAGAAAGACAGGAGAUAUACUGAUAGCUGGUCGGCAUGGCUUCACAUUGAGGAGUCAUAGGACAACCCUCCUUAUGGGCUGAAGGGGGAUGUUGUUGGGCUGACAGCCCAUAUUCAGCCCAAUGUGAGCUUUAUCAGCCCACAACUCAUCCCCUCUCAACAUAACCCUAAUUUAUAUUAGAGAGGGUGUGAUGGCUCUAAAAAGAGGCAGAAAAAAGCAGUAGCAAGGUAGUUUUUGGCAGUCACAGGAUUCCAAAGAAAAGGAGGAGAACAAGGCAGAAAAGGAAGAAGACAAGGAUAACACAAAGAGAUUGUUCUCAAUCAUCUAGCAGUGCUUUUAUCUUAUGUUAGAUCAGAUCUACAGUAAAUUUUUACUGUGAUUACUUGGGAAGAAUUAUGGAGAAUUUAGAUAUUGUGCACAGUGAUAUGAUCUUUGUAUUCCAAUUAUUCUUUUGUGAUUGUUGCUGGAGUUUUGGACAAAAGAUUGAGAUUUGUAUAUUCAUUAUUAUUAUUAUGGAUUAUCUUUAAUUUGUCCUAUAGUUUUUAUCCUUCAUACAUAAAAAUUAUUUUUCAUAUAUAUUUUAGUGUUCUAUUUUAUUGUGAUUCCAUUUAAUUCCACUGCAUGUUAUAUUAUGCUAAUAUUUAUUUAUACACAAGUUAUUUCGACACCUAUAUAAGAGGUACUACGAGUGCUUUCAACUAAAGCUAAUAAUUAUGAGUUCUUUCAACUAAAGCUAAUAAUUAUAGGAGCUUAGCCGAAAGCUGAAACGCCAAAGGGUUUUAAAAGCUAUAGGACAUUUAUUGCUUUGGUUAACAUUAUCUUUGUAUGUGGUGGACUUCAGAGAGAUGCUUCUUAAUCAUUAAUUGUUCGGGAAAUGAGUAAUGUGGUCGGUGUAGUGCUGCUACCGAUGAGUCACAAUGUUCAUCUAUGAACAUUUCAGGAAAGCUCCGGCAAGCCGUGCGACGUGCAAACCUGUUGAUCUAUGUACGACUUCCACGUAGAACAACAUGAGCAACAAGAGAUAGGUUGUAGAUCGCCAUGCAUGUACAACUGUUCCUUCAAGGCAGGUGGAGGGAGGAUGGUUGCAGUCAUGCUAAUUAUGGACAAACUUCAUCGUCUCUUCGGUGAAGGCCGGUAGAUGUUCCUUUUGAACACAUCGUGUCAGCAACCUCACGCCCUGCUUCGGCAUGGACGGCUGCAGGUAGAUGCAGGAAGCGAUGAAGUUGCUGUCGUCAUUCAACG